GAUGAACGCUGGCGGCGUGCCUAAUACAUGCAAGUCGAGCGAACGGACGAGAAGCUUGCUUCUCUGAUGUUAGCGGCGGACGGGUGAGUAACACGUGGAUAACCUACCUAUAAGACUGGGAUAACUUCGGGAAACCGGAGCUAAUACCGGAUAAUAUUUUGAACCGCAUGGUUCAAAAGUAAAAGACGGUCUUGCUGUCACUUAUAGAUGGAUCCGCGCUGCAUUAGCUAGUUGGUAAGGUAACGGCUUACCAAGGCAACGAUGCAUAGCCGACCUGAGAGGGUGAUCGGCCACACUAGAACUGAGACACGGUCCAGACUCCUACGGGAGGCAGCAGUAGGGAAUCUUCCGCAGUGGGCGGAAGCCUGACGGAGCAACGCCGCGUGAGUGAUGAAGGUCUUCGGAUCGUAAAACUCUGUUAUUAGGGAAGAACAUAUGUGUAAGUAACUGUGCACAUCUUGACGGUACCUAAUCAGAAAGCCACGGCUAACUACGUG
rnacentral:rRNA from 1 species